UGAGCCACCUCUAUGUGUAUGGCCCGUAUUGUUAGACACGUGAACAGCACACCCCAGCGCUUUUCCUGUCUCCGUCCAACAGCGACCAAAAAAGGUCCGAAGUAAUCUAUCCCUGUGUAGGAGAACGGUCUGGCGUACGGCGACACUCGAGCUAACGGCAACUCAUUCAUCACUGGAGGUUUAGGUGGUACUCCGUUACAAUCAGAUCGGUGAGCCAGGAUUUUUUGGGAAGAAUAAUUGGCCUCUUCAUGUCAUGGCUUGCGUAACGACAAGCAUCGAUUCUUCCUCGUACUCAUCCCUUUGUACCUGAUUUGUCAUGCAGAAGCAGCU